AUGGUGCUGAGCCCGCGGCUCUUCACACCCACGGGGGGAUCCUGCUCCUUCGGCCUCGCCGCCGGCUCCUCGCCCUCCCCUGGGCCCCGGGCACAACUCCCGGCAGGGCCAGGGGUCCUCUGUGCCGCCCUGAGCACCCUCUGUGCCACCCCGAGCACCCUCUGUGCCACCCCAAGUAACCCUUGUGUCACCCUGAGCACGCUCUGCGCCACCCAGGCCACCCUCUCAUCCUCCCCCAGUUUGGGGGCGGCUCUCAGCGAACUGCCAGCACCCCUUGGCACGGUUCCACCCUUUAAAAAGUCUCCAAAGUGCCCCAAAUCACCCCAAACUGCCACACCGCGGGGUGUCCCGAGCCCCCCCCACACAGGGCAAGGUCCGCAGUGGGGCAGGGAGGGUGCAAAGGGCGGCGGGUGUGGGGUGCUGGGCGCGGGCAGUGGGGUGUCCCCGGGUCCAGAGUGCGGCUGUGGCACGGAGGUGACGCGGCAGUGCGGGGGGACACCUGGUUCGUUGGCGGGGGGCCAGGGGCCCAUGCCCGGGAGGGGUCCCUGGGGAUGGGGGCGGCGGGAUGGGGACAUGGAGAGACCCCGGGAGCUCUGCGGGUGUGGGGACAGGGCUGGGGGGGGCAGACACCGCGGGGUGCCGGGCGGGGGGACAUGCCAGCCCCCAGCACGCACCUCUUGGUGUCCCCAGGGCCAUGUUCUUCAUCAUCGUCAUCACCUUCAUAGCCAUCACCUUCCUCCUCCUCAUCUUCCACCUCUUCCGCAAGCUCUGCCAGGACCCCGUGCCCCCCCCCGCCUACAGGAGCCCGCAGGGCCCCAUGCCCGCCUCGCCCUCCAGAGAUCCCCAGGGCCCCGUGCCGCCCCCGCUGACCCUGAUGCCCACGCUGCCCAGUCUGCCCAGUGGGGCCAUUCCCGUGGGGCUGGAGCCCCCGCCCUACAGCGAGGUGACAGCGAAGCCCUUCCUGUACCCCCUGCCCCAGGGGCCGUGCCCCGAAUGUGGCCACAUGCCCACAGCUCAGCCCCCCUUGACCACCCGGACCUAGAGGUGACCUCCUCCAAGGACAGCUGGUGA
rnacentral:lncRNA from 13 species